rnacentral:siRNA from 1 species
AGGCCAUGAUUGGUUGGGCUGUA